rnacentral:rRNA from 1 species
UACGGGGGGGGUAAGCGUUGUUCGGAAUUACUGGGCGUAAAGGGCUCGUAGGCGGCCAACUAAGUCGGACGUGAAAUCCCUCAGCUUAACUGGGGAACUGCGUCCGAUACUGGAUGGCUUGGAUUUGGGAGAGGGAUGCGGAAUUCCAGGUGUAGCGGUGAAAUGCGUAGAUAUCAGGAGGAACACCGGUGGCGAAGGCGGGUCUCUGGGCCGAUAUCGACGCUGAGGAGCGAAAGCGUGGGGAGCGAACAGG